UUUGGGCUAGGGGGUCAUCCCGACUUACCAAACCCAUGCAAACUCCGAAUACCGAGAAGUGCAAUUACGGGAGACACACGGCGGGUGAUAACGUCCGUCGUGGAAAGGGAAACAACCCAGACCAUCAGCUAAGGUCCCAAAAUUAUGGCUCAGUGGAAAACGAUGUGGGAAGGCCCAGACAGCUAGGAGGUUGGCUUAGAAGCAGCCAUCCUUUAAAGAAAGCGUAAUAGCUCACUAGUCGAGUCGGCCUGCGCGGAAGAUGUACCGGGGCUUAAGCCAUAUACCGAAGCUAUGGAUGCGUGUUUACACGCAUGGUAGAGGAGCGUUGUGUAAGUCUGUGAAGGUGUCCUGAGAGGGAUGCUGGAGAUAUCACAAGUGCGAAUGCUGACAUGAGUAACGAUAAAGGGGGUGAGAGGCCCCCUCGCCGAAAAUCCAAGGUUUCCUGCUCAACGUUAAUCGGAGCAGGGUGAGUCGGCCCCUAAGGCGAGGACGAAAGUCGUAGUCGAUGGGAAGCAGGUUAAUAUUCCUGCACGACUUGUAAUUGCGAUGGGGGGACGGAGAAGGCUAGGUGGGCCAGGCGACGGUUGUCCUGGUGAAAGUGCGUAGGUGGUGUUUCUAGGCAAAUCCGGAGACACAACACUGAGACACGAGACGAACGCACCACGGUGCGGAAGCCAUUGAUGCCCUGCUUCCAGGAAAAGCCUCUAAGCUUCAGAUUACAAGUCAUCGUACCCCAAACCGACACAGGUGGUCGGGUAGAGAAUACUAAGGCGCUUGAGAGAACUCGGGUGAAGGAACUAGGCAAAAUGGCACCGUAACUUCGGGAGAAGGUGCGCCGGUGAGGGUGAAGCACUUGCUGCGUAAGCCCACGCCGGUCGAAGAUACCAGGCCGCUGCGACUGUUUAUUAAAAACACAGCACUCUGCAAACUCGAAAGAGGACGUAUAGGGUGUGACGCCUGCCCGGUGCUGGAAG
rnacentral:rRNA from 1 species